GUUACGGUAGUUUAAUAAAACAUUAGUCUGUGAUACUAAAAACGGAAAUUAUUCCCCAUAACU
rnacentral:tRNA from 1 species